rnacentral:ncRNA from 12 species
GGUAUGUGCUUAAUGAGUACAUGCUUCGUAUGUAUAGCGAUCUCCAGUAUGAGGAAAAACUACCGCUUGGAUUGGCUGAGAGGCCCGGAUCCAUC